rnacentral:lncRNA from 1 species
GAAUCACAAGACAUGUAAGUUGUAGAGAUCCAUCCAUCAUGGAUCUUAGCAAGCUAGUGGGAGCUAUUUGCAUCUUAUGAGAAAAAGAUCAAAUCGUUUGAUUUCUCAUAAAGAUGUAAAUGAAUCUUUUGUUUACUAGGUUUACAAAAGAUUAGUGGGAGUUAAUCAUGUUCCUAAAAUUUAAAAUAUAUAUGAUAUAUUAAUUUUUGGAAAUGAAAAGAAUACUUCUUCGUUAAAGUUAUGACUUUAAGCAUUCUAUAAACGAUAGAAUGUAUAUGGGAGAUAUAGUCUAUAUACAUGGGAUGUAAAUCUAUAUUGAUAGAUUUUAGGAUAUAAUUGGAUUAUAUCAAUCCCUAAUAAUAGACAAGAGAUGCUAGGAAGUUUCUCAUAUGAUGAUAAACUUCAAUCAAAAGGACAACUCUAGUAAGACUAA